rnacentral:rRNA from 1 species
UACGUAGGGUGCAGGCGUUAAUCGGAAUUACUGGGCGUAAAGCGUGCGCAGGCGGCUUUGCAAGACAGAUGUGAAAUCCCCGGGCUUAACCUGGGAACUGCAUUUGUGACUGCAUGGCUGGAGUGCGGCAGAGGGGGAUGGAAUUCCGCGUGUAGCAGUGAAAUGCGUAGAUAUGCGGAGGAACACCGAUGGCGAAGGCAGCCCCCUGGGUCAAGAUUGACGCUCAUGCACGAAAGCGUGGGGAGCAAACAGG